UCUGAUUCCUGAUUCUCUGUGUAUUACAUAUUGUUUUCUUCUCCUGGAGGCUUUUCCUUGUCUUCAGUCUUCUGAAGUUUCUUGUGGCUGUGCCUUGGUGUGACUCUAUCUCCCUUUGACCUGACAAAGAUGACUGCUAACAGUAUCCUUGGUCCUCCCUGACCUCCCACUGCCCUGGUUGUUACCCGCUGAUCCUUUCCUGUGUCCCACACUGCCUUCCACACCCUCCUCCAUCAGGAAGCCUUCCUGGAAUCAGGAAGCAUUUUGCAGAGAAUUCCCAGUCUCUCAGGCCAUCACCACUUCCCUCUGUAUACUCUUCAGCGCACUCUCCUCGUCUACACGCACAUUUCCACUUUCUUCCUGAACGGUUCUACGUGCCACUGAGGCAGAGGGAUCUACUCACCUCCAAGAUCCAGGAAAAGUGACUUCGGCAUCUGCCCCCUUCCCAGGGGCAGCGUGUCUCCUGUUGCAGCAGCUUGCUGUGUGGACUCCCGCAAGUCAUU